AAAGAGUCAGUAUUCUUGUAAGAGCCUGUUUUUCUUUUUCAUUUACAGUGUUCCCUGGAUAUCCCGAGAACACUGUACGUAUGGUGGGAAUACACCCUGGAUGAGAUGCCAAGGCACACAUUCACACGGUUAUUCACAUCCAGGGGCAAUAUCAGUUAAAGGAAUAUCAGUCAUAAUUUAGCUUUUUUUAAAAAUUACAAUUAUUUUUUAAGAUUAUAAUAUCAAUAUUUUUAAUAUUAUAUAUUUAAGAUUGUUUAAUAUUACAAAACAUAAAGCAGCUAUGGGAGAACUUCAUUUUGAGCCACUGUCUGCACUGAAAUAUCAGAAAAAACAUCACACAUGCGGUGAGCUCUACAGCUUGUACACUGCUGAGAUGUUUCACACCAAACGGGUUGAGUUGGUUCGAGAGGCAAAUCAGUGGCAAACAGGUGCUCCAAAGACAAAUUAACAGUCCCAUCACUGUUCCUGAUAAAGAAAAACAUGCAGAAUAAUUUGCUGUACAAUGAGUGAUCUCCAAGAUAGUGCGUAAAAAAUUCUAAAAGAUUAAAAGCAGGCGCUUCUGGCUACAAGCUGACAAUGGAGCAUGUAUUCUGAUGAUUCGACAUCAUUGUGAAUAAUGGGUGAGCUGUGAGACGAGAAGCAUGCAUUAUAAUGCUCAAUUGUGAGACAAAAGGGCCAUUAAAAGGAACAGUCAUGUCUUUAGAGCUCAGAUAUUAUGUUAUAGUGGCACGUAUGAUUGCAGCUCCCAGCAGGCUGUAAAAAAGCACAUUAAUUUCGAGUUAGGAUAUGAAACCACUGGUAUAUCGCUCAGUGUAAGACAGAUGAUCAGAUGCCUUUAGGUAGUGAUACUGAUGACAUCCUAGCACUUAGUAUCAUCUGUAGGCAUGUAUUAUUUCCUGUAGUGCAGGUUAUGUUACUCUGAUGAAUAAGAAAGCAGAGAUUAUCAGUAAAGAAUGUAAAUAAACACUGUUUACAUGAAGUGUUGUUAGGUUGUGACAGAUUGCAUUGCUCUACCAGUACGUCUAAACAAAAUGAUUUUAUUUAAUCAUCACUUGAACUGUACAAAAACACAAACCAUAUCUUUUACAAAACUACCCAGCUGCUACGUGCUUCUGGAGACACCUAAUAGAAAGCUGUGCUACUUAGAGAUAGAGAAGAAAGAUUCAAACCCUGGAUUCCUGCUUCACUUCCCCUGUGUGUGCAACACAGUGUCUUUAGUAUUGUCAUCAUCAUUACAAGAUUUACUUACUGUUCUAUAAUAUAGAGCUUUUAUAACACAUUCAUAAGCAGUGCAUAAAUAAGGAAUAAAACAGGAUUGGGUGGUGUGAUGCUUUUACCACCCUGAAGGGGAUUAUUUUCCUAGAACAGCACAACCCCAAUUUUUUUAUUCCUCUUACAGCACAGCAAUUUGCCAAUGAUUACAAUUUUUAAUUUAUCACGGAAUGCCAUCAUAAUUUUUAUCAGUUUAUAGCUACGUUGGAACAUCAGCACGUACGCUACACCAGCUAUAUAAAUAAACAGUCGUUUCCUCAUCAACCUCGUUUUUUCUCUAGCUUCAAGUUAAUAAAGCAAAAAAACUUAAAGGAACAGCUUUAUACUUCUGACUGUUAAAAAAAUCUGACACUGGAGACUCCUUCCAAAAUUUGCCUCAUCACAAGACACUUCACCUUAUCCACGAUUAUGCACAUUUAACAGAAAUCUGUUUAUGCAUUGUGUUCACCAUUUCAAGUAGCUGUGUAAGUUGUUAUUACAGAAACAAUAACAUAUUAGAACUAGUGCAUUAAUGAAAACCUGUGAUUUGCCUUACAGCCAGAACUACUGUCUGAGCUGCUGUUAUAGAAGGUUAAUCAACUUUCUGACCUUAUAUUUAAUGUACUACAAACAUAAAAGUAAAAAAUAAAUCUGGACACUUGAGAUACAUGUAAACAACGAGCUAGUGCAACCAGUUCACACAAUAUUGAUUCAUCGUCUUAUGUGCAGUUCAAGAGAGAGCAGAUGAAAAAAAGCCAGCCACCAUUUUGACUGGGUUCCCCACAGGGCCAUAGAAAGCAAUCACUCUCAACACCAAAGAGAAGGAGGCCUGUCAUGUCUGGCAUGAUGAGCACAAAGCCUGGCCGCAGCCUGAAGUGCCGCAGAGGCGUCCGGUCCGAGAGAGGCCUGGAAACAAACAGCCUCUCAACUAUCUGACACACACAGACAGCUCAAGCCAACCCCACGCACAAGACAGAUGUCAACCAGCCAUGACAUUCAUGACACAAAGUAUGAGUUGGGGAAAAAAAAAAGACUCAAUACUGAUGAAAGCAGUGGAGUUAUUUUUCAUGAUCAGAGUCUGUAGCAGAACUUGUUAUUUAGAUGUACUAGAUGUUAUAAAUCCUUUUAUCACAGCUUUUAUCUGGUGAGUUCAGCACAGCAAACUUGAACAAAAGCUCUAAGAAUCAACAAAAUAAAUCCACAGAGAGGACACAUUAUCUUUCAGUGCCCAAACAAAGAGCAAGCUGGAGAGCUGUCUGGAAGGCAGAUGACAAAGGCUCUCAGAUGUCUGGAAAUCCGAUGAGUUAUGACAGGAUAUGGUAAAGCUAUCUGAUGCACCGGCUGCGGAUUGCUUUACGGGGAGAAAAGGGCCAGCUCCCCUGUGCUUUUGGGCUGAGGUGUGAUGAAAGCAGGACGCGCCACUUAUCACAUUACCUUAUACAAGCUUGUUGAUUGAUGCUGCCAGCUGCUAAACACAAGGCUGCAAUGUUUAUUGUAUAACCAGUUACAUACUGCAUGUGCAUGCCAAUAUCAAUUCAAGGUCUGGUGAAUGAUGUUUUGUUCCAUGUCAUAAUUCAUGCUUGCGUCUGUGACUUCUUUUUAUUCAGCAGGAGAGAACAAGAAACCAUCAGGUCAGUGUUACUAAUUUCAGAGGCUGGAGUCUGGUCCUGUCUGAGCAAAAGCAUGUUCCCCUAUAACACCUGCUUCCGAGAGAAUGCUCUACCUCUCAUCCUCUCAUCUGUCAAUAGAGCAGCAGCCCUGCGCUCUCCAUGCUCCAGUCCAGUGUCCUGAGGUCACUGAUCAAAUGCAACACCCUGCACAUCCCACACUGAGAAAGCACAAUCCGGCACAAGACAAAAUCUGGGCUGCGUUUGAGGCAAAGGCAACACCAGCAUCAGAUAACAACACAGCGGAUACAAAGGCAACCUGGGGUAUCACUAGAGAAAACAAGAAAAACAAAGUGUCUGCGUAUUCUAUUACAGCUGCCAUGAGUUCACCUCAGGACUUUACAUCAGUCAGAAUUAAUUUUUUAGGAUGGCAUGAAGCUCAUGCCUGCUUAAUGUCUGCAUAUUACCACGGCUGAAUUAGUCCUAGUAAUGCCUUAAUCCCAGCUAUUAGCCAUGCCUGUAUUAUUCAAGAGCUAACAUUUAUAUGACUAAAAUCUGCCUUGCAGUUCAGGCCGAAUUAAAAUGUCGAAGGUUUAUGGCGCCUUGGACCCAUUUCAAGCACUUAAAUAUGUGACAACCUUAUUCAGUGCAGAGGAGCAAUGAAUCUGUCAGCUUCCUGCCCAGUGCCAGUUUCCCGAAGGUCAUAUACUGGAUAUUAAUAGCUAGCUAUGAAUGUCAGAGGUCAUGACCGGCAUCAGCACCUAUGUGGUGUGUAGUUAAUUAAAAAACAAGAUGAAGUCUAUUCCAUCACCGUACAAGAUAAAACCUUCCUGCUUACUGAUGCCCAGGAGCAGCAACACACACACACACACACACACACACACACACGGGUAAGGAGUAUUCUCCGUACAGCCUGGGUCUGGGGCUGCACAGCCUCAAGCAGAAUGAGCCAACACACAGCGGUGGCCAUUAUUUUAGUUAAUCAGCAAUGCAGCAGAAAUUCUGUCCUUCGUGAGGAAUGAAUGCAGUGUGAGUGUCACUUGACCUGGCUGACCUGCGGUUGACCCCAGAGCCAGCAGGAGGACUGUGUUGUGAUGGCUUCAUACCUCUCUCAUUUCACAUGCUGAAUAAAGAGAAUGGAGUUAAGCCCAGUGUGAAUUAGGAAUGCAGAAUGCCAACAUCAGAUAUAUCGCUGAAAGCUAUAGAUACCAGACAAAAAAUGACAGUACGCUAGUGGAAACAUUAAGGAAACUUCUAUGUGCAUCCAACAGAUAUGAAAGGACCUCUUUUGAUCAGGCUACAGACAGACAGGACAUUAAGCUUUAAUGAGGUGCUCUGGUCCAGUUAAUCUCCUGUGGCCCUGUCUGUUUGUUCUCAGGUGCAGAGAUGUCAAACUGAUAUGAAAGAUGCAGCACUCCGCUCCACCUCUGGGCGUACACCGGCUGAAGUGUCAGUUCUACCUGUUAGGGCAGGUCCGACCCUCCGCUAGCCCUCUCAAACAUACACUAUACAUCCGCUUGACUCUGCAAAAAAGAGCAGGAAGAAAAACAGACGUGGAAGGAUGCUAUUACAGCCGUUGUCAAAUGAGGUGGGCUAUCAUCAUCUCAGGAAUGACAAACUCCAGCUGCCAGAGCAGUUUCAGCAGCUUCCAAACACCAGAUCUGUCCUGAACUCAGUCCCCUAGGACAGACGAGGAAAAGCCCAGCCUGUCCUCAGCUCUCUUUGACUCGACACGUGGAGGAGUCGCUGCUCUUUUCCAGCUGGCUUUGCAGCAGGAGAAACAACAGCAUGGUGAGGAGGAUGUUUCUCAGGCCUGUAGAUAGCAUGCGUAAGUGUGAGUGGGAUGGAGUGAUGAUGUUACUGUGUACUCAUCUCUGAAGCCUUGAGCCUUUCUGUUUAUGUAGUUCAUAUCAUGAGGAGGGCACUGAAGCUAACAUUUCCCACAACCUUAAACCCCCUAGCAAGUUGCUCAAAAUACAAAGUGCAUCCUGUAUCAGUGCAGACAUACAGAGACGCCGAAUAUGAGUAGUAUUACUUAGGGCGUUUUCACACUUGGCCCGAAUACUCAAGUCCGCGUCCAGGACUGAUUCUGGGGUUGUUUGGGGGAGGCGCUCAUAAUCACAAGUUAUCUUUCAUACAGAAGAACCAGGGAUCACAAUUCCAUACAUCACUUUUGUAGACACAGGUUUGCAAAAAAUGCACUAGGUUCAAGUGUUUAUUUUUUAUUAUUAUUUUCCUUUAGUACCAAAAAUCAAGUUAAGAACGCUUUUGGAUGCAUCCAAAAAUCAUAGAAAUACCUUCAAAGAACAAGUCAUUCUCAUAUAAGAUUUUUAGCCAUGCAGACUGAAACAAGAUGUGUGUUUUUCACCAUGUUCUCAAAGAAAGCACCACAAAGAUGCCCUAAUUACAGUAACAUUAUGCUCCAUUCCUAUGUAAGUGUAUUUUAUUGUGUUUGGCCUAUAAUGAUACGUAAUAGUGAUAAUAUGGGCCACACCACACAUGGCUAGUCUACACUGCAAAACUCUGUAGCCUUAUAAACUUUAUGAGUUGUGGCCAUUUGCGAUUGAAUGUUCCAUAUAUUGAUCAUAAUAACCUUUUCUCCACCAUCGAGAAACCUGAAAUCAGAAGUAACACGAUAAGAUAAACCAAUCACAUUACUCAGUGCAUUGAGAGUGGAGAGCUUCCAUACAUGAUGUGUACCAUGCCAGAUUUAAAGCAAGUCCUAGGCCAGUGUUUUCAAAGGGAACAGGGAUUGGAUCUCUGGACCAUUUCUGGGCUCUAAAACAGCUUUCACACUCCAUCAAAUGUACUGAAAUCUCAGGGCAAGCGACCACAGUUCCGGAAAAAACUCUCAAGUGUGGAAAACGACCUAAGCGAACAGACUAUUCUGCUGUUUAAAUUAGCAUCAGUUUGACACGUGUUGGUGACAGUUCAUCAGGCAGUAAAAAUAAGGCACUUCAUCUCAUAUUCUGUUCAUGCAUAAUCUCAAUACCAAGCAGAGAUAUGUCACAUGCUACUAUCAGCUUCACAAAUAUAGGUACAUCUGUCUGCGAAAAGUGGUAAUAAACUUCCGUUUCCAAGCAAUUUAUUUAGUUGAGUUGCACUUUCCAGCGUGAAUGAUAUUUUAUAGCUGUCUCUGAGGAAAGAUUUAUCCCAUAAAAUGUUUCAGCAAACACACUGAAGGCACAGUGGCACUGAGCUCUAUAGCCCCCUGUUUAUUAUGUUUGAACACUUCAGGGAACUCAUAAUUCUCACACAAGGAGAUGAAUAUGGCAUGAGCCUUUACCAGCCGUACAUGAGAGAUUACAAAGAGAGAGAGGAGGAACAAGCAAAGAAAAUAGUUUGCCCUUCUCAUGCUCGAAAAAAAAGGAAAGAAAAAAAAAUCACUUGUGUUCUAUGAGGCAUUUUCAGGUGGUCUGUCGCUGCCUGGUUCUGUUACGCUGUUUCUGUGAUAUGAACUCCUCUGCUGAGAGGCAGAUUAAUAUGAAAAAUGCACAGAGGAGAUCCACUUCAUAACUUUCCUGGCUCUGCCAGUGUGGAUUACCCAGAGCGCCGUCUGUGUGACAAGAACUGAUGGGACCUCAGUCCUGGCUCCAACUGCUCCGGUCUGCUUUUCAUUACCCAUGAGGAGGAUGUGGGAGAAACCUUGUACCCCUACAUGAAUAUCAAGUCAAACACUUCAUCCAAGCACAACCUACUUGACAUUUCAGAGACAUUACACUUUUAUGUACCUACCAAACAUUAUUUUGUUAAGGGAGUGGGAGCAGUUACUUCAUCCUCUGUAAAAUGUGUUUAAGAUGCAGAUGUCAGUGAAACAUUCACAGGGCUGAAUCCUGACCAACUGAUGCCUGCAGAAAAGUGUUUGUGCAGGUUGCCAAAGUGUUGUCAAAGUAUUUUGACAGAUAUGGCUAGUUAAAUGCAAUACUUUAACAACAUUCAUGGUACUUCAGAAGACACCGAAAAAGCAGCCUACACACAACCACAUGUAUUUUUCCAAAAGAUGCCCAGUCACUCAAUGUGGUUUCACGCCAUCGCGUUCCACGACCUAUGAGUCCUCUAAGAGAAUUAUCACAUUAUAGCAUUCCUGCAUGCCCAAUUUCCCCCAAAAAACACAGCUCAAGGCUUUCCAAGUACCUCUUCUUAGCUCUGACUCUGGGGAGGGAUCCUAAAUAGCCUUUUCCAAUUCCCUUGUUUUCUGCACAUGCUUGUUUAAACCCUUUAUUUACAACACUCACUCUCAAGAAAUCCAAUAAAAAGCAUUCCCAAUUAUGCUGUCCUCAUAACUACAGCUCACAAAAUGACCUUCCUGCUUUGCAACACACAUCAGCAAUGCAGAGACACCAACACGAGCAAGACAGCUCAUUUUCUACCACUUCCAUUAAUACAUAGUUUUGGGGCCACUGGAGCAUGCGGGAAGGGAAAAUCAAUGCAGAAGAGAAAAGGAUUUGCAACAGGCUAUAAUAAAUGUCUCCUCGAGCUAAAGUGUGCAAAUGCUAAAUAUUUCAACACGCUGGAAAAGCAGAGCGUCAUUUUAAACCAGGAGAAUUGUGUCAAGGCAAAAAGAAAGUAUCACCAUAAUGGUUUAAAAACAAUAAAGACGCUUUCUGUUAAGCAAUCUGGGCUUCGAACUCUCUGGAUACAAUUUGAGAGUCUUGGAAAAGGUCAAAAUGUUCAAACGUUAUGGUAUUCAUAUUGUAUUAAAGAGUGCUGGAGUUUGAUGCAAACCAUGUGGUGUUCCAGCAUGUAAUGCCACAAUGUCAUGAUUGAAAAGCGGCUUCAAUCGUGGUCACACUCAAUUUUAAUGUGAUUCAAAGCUCUCAAAAGUUCACAGAAACCUCUAAAUUGUAUGAUUAACCAUUUCACUGACACACACAAAGGAGCCAUGUAUAAGCCUUUGAGUAAAUCUGCUGCUGUAACAGACACAUUAGGCCAGGGCUUCCCAAACUUUUUUGGGUAAACGACCCCAAAUGGACAUUAUGAAUUUUCUGUGACCCCAAGCCUUGACCACCCUAAAUUUUUUCUCCAGAUUUAGAAUUUAUGACUACUAUAACAUGUGAACAUUUUAUUAUGUCAGUAACAUAUGUGUUACCUAAGUGACUAAACAUCAAAGGAAUAUUAAUUGCACUGGCUUUCCUGUCUACUGCGAAGGGUGAGAAUGCAUUUCUUGGCACAGCUUUUCGAGCGAUACAUAAGAAAUAAAACACGACAGGGUGUGUUGUUAUAGGAAAAUAAUCCACACCAGGGGUGGUGGGAUAUGGCCCCGAUGUGAAGCAGAGGGGUCUGGUUUAUACUUAACACUUGACUUUGCAUGCAUGUGCAGAAGCAGGCACUCUUGUUCAGGCACUCACCUGCCUAUUAUUUACAUCAAAGCGAAAACAUUCCUGUCUAUCAGGUUUCCAAGUUGAACUCUAAAAUGUUUAGUGAUUUCUAUUCUAUUAAAACUUUCCCCUGUCGUCCUGACUGUUGUCAUACUCUCAUCUCAAAUUAGAAACUCUGAUCUUAAGGAUUUAUGAAGGAUUUAUGAAUCUAGAAAAUCCAGAAGACUGGUAUGCAGAACAGACCUUUCAGUAGGUUCAAGGGCUACAUUAGAGGUUUUUAAAAUUCAAACACUAGCUGUAAGCGGAAAACUGGUUAGCGUUAGUACUCAUUAAUGAUCUAAAAUUGUACAUAAGUACGCAAUUGGGGACACAAUGCUAAUCUGUUUAGCAGAGGUACCUGGACAGGAAAAUAUUCUAUCCAUUUCUAUUGCUAAACUCCAAAUACUAGUGCAGCAUGUCAGGAUAGUGAAACGACUAAAAUAGUAUGUACACUCUUCAUUUAAUAUAGUAGCACACAAAAUUCAUCUUCAUCGACCGGGCAAUAUUUCUAAUAAUUAUUUGAAAAAUGAAUGAAUAUAACAAAAAAAAGUGGUAUCCCUAGUUUGGGAACCUUUGCAUUAGGCCAUGCUUUGGGCCAUAGAGUUGUGCUCCAGCCAUUUUUAUACAACAGAAAAUGAUCCAAAUGCUUUCUAAAAAAAAAAAAAUAUCAGUUUAACCCUAUUCACUGUGCUAGUUACUGAGGGUGGUGUUUGUAAUAAAUUCCUCUGUGAUAAAACUCUCACAUUCAGACAGCAAUAGAAAGCUACUAGAAACUUGCUUAUGCCAUUUUAAUUUAUAUGUAAAUUAACAGGGUAUGAGCAAAUUUCCAGCAGGUUAUUUUUCCUGUUUGCAUCACAGCAAUACGAUCACAUUGUCAUGAAUUUCACAAUCAUGAAAUCAUUAUAAUAAAAAUACAGUAAUGAUGGUGUGCUAUACAAAAAUAAAAUAAGGCUUUAUAUCAUUUGUAACUGUCAUUAUAAUAAAUGUAAUCAGCCUGCAGAAUUACAUUUUUAAUUGGUGUGCUUCCUAUUUUCUUCCAACAGGCUCCCAGUGAAGACACGAUGCAGGUGACGUUAACCAUAGAAGGCUUCCACAGCAUCCGUCAUUUUCUGAUUACUUAUUACGACGUUUUGUGGAUUUAAAUGCAGGUUUAAUGGAAGUGUAUCUUUUCUGUGACACAUGAUAUCAAUGAGAAAAAAGCUUCAGAAAUGCCUUUUUUUUUUUUUUUGCAUCAUCAUCAUGGUUGUUCCCAGCAGUUUUCAAAACAAAAAGCCGUGCCCAUGCACUAGGUGCACAUUAAACAUACUUUAAUUUCAUUAUACAGAAAGGACAAUGCUUUCAAAAGAAUAUGUAACAUGAGUUGCAGAAUGUGGUCUGGCCUGCGUCUUUUUCAUUUUCCACAUAACCUAUUAAACUACAUUUUCAGUUGCCAAAAUAUACGGAGUGAAAAAGCAGCAUUUAUUAUAUUACAAAAAUAAAAGUUUGCAAUAAUGUUCCAGAUUUAUGCUUAUUUAUGCUUCAUUUCUAAAUAAGACUUCAACUGCUCUACAGCUACAGCUCUUCUACCCUGUGCACUGCACUGAAGAUGAAUGGGAAAUUUGUGAAAAUGAAAGUGCUAAUUACAGGCUGUUGUAACAUGGUUAAAACCAGCGUGUCUUUCAAUGUAAGACACCCCGCUGGAUGGAACAUAAAAGCAAACACAAAUAACUAAUUACGCCAUCAUCUUCAGGCGGCUGUGCUCGGUGCUAGCUUGUCUCCGGUGCUUGUUAAUUGGUGACCUGCACUAUUGGUCAGCAGACAAUCGGCACGAUGAUGAAGCCAAUUAGAGUUGGGGAGUACACAUGGCCCACAGAGCUUGUUGUGGCUGCCACAUCAUGUCUUAUCUAAUUCAAAACAAACGCUGAGGUAGAGCUGGCAUGACAGUUGUAGCGGGCACGAGCACGGGACUCUCUGACGUGGCCAACUUUCUCAAUCUGCCUCUCAAAAUGGACCUCACAAAGGCACCUAUUGUGCAGAGGAGUGCGCCUUCAGAGCAUUAAAGCAGAGUUUAAUCCACUUAAGUGCAGGGCAGAGUGGAGAGACCUGACGUAGUUUUCUUAUAUAUCUGCUUUUCCUUAGGUGUGUUGUGAAAAUGGCUUUAAACAAAAACAUGGAUUGCUCCAAGUAGAUUUACUACUUUGUUGUGUUUCAAGUGUAUUGCUUUUUAUUUAUUUGAUUGUGAGGCUCCGACAACACAUAUUUCAUAAGUUGAAAAUCCACUCUGUGUGUCCAGGAGUGGUUUAGUUUAUUCCAGUGGAAUAGUUACAGAACACAUCACUCCCUAAUUUCUGACUAACCAACUCUAAACACGCCAGAAUCAGGCUCACUCAUCACAGUGAUUUGCUUUUCUCUUUCGCGACUUUAAUGUUGAAUAAAAUAAGCGACUUCAACAUCUUGAAACCAGACAAUAACUGCUUGCCCUACUGUGAUGAUGAAUGAUCUGUUCCUUUUGCACUUUAGGAAAUCCCGUGUUGACUCACAAGAGCAGCUCCUAUCAGGAGACCGCUUUGUUCUUGCCAAAGCUACCACCAUAUUUACUUCUCAAAUCCAGCAUGGAGCUCUGGGGAUGGUGCUGCGAUAAAGCCGAAACCACAACAUAAAUAUUUUAAGACUGCACAAUUACAUGGAAUGAAAUCUUAGUGAAGUUCUUCAUUUAUAUGAUAAGAGAAGAGGGGGACCUAAGAUUAGAACUAAAGGAAAUAAGAUUAGAAAAUUGUUUUUGAAUAGUACAAAUAUCUGAAAAACAAGUAUGUGGGAAAUAAUUGUGUGUGUAAAGCGACUGGGAGUGUGAUGAUGUCCAGUGUAUCCAGUCUGAGGCCUACAUGUGGUGUUGAAAGAGAACAGGAUAGGAGAAGCAUGUCUUUAACAAAGCAGAAGCCAUUAUGGUAGAGCAGUGUGUAUAUUAAAGAAGAAGUCCACUCCAAAAAACAAAAUAUGUUUAUAUUGAAAUAUUUGUGAUAUGGUCAUGAUUCUGGUACUAACUUGUUGGUUCAUGCUGUAUUUUAUUUUUUAGCACGAAAUUAGGGGGACAUUACUAGCGCAGGUACAAUGCUGUUUAAUAGGGGAAAAAUUUCAGCUCAACACAAACAAAUGAUAACCGUUAGGUUUAACUGUUAGAGCCUAAAAACAAAAGAGCAAAAGCUUCUUUUCUCACUCACCAUUUUGCAGUAGCAUUUAAUGUCAGAUUAAUGAGAAAUCUAAUGUAGAGUUAGUGGAGAUGGCAAAUGUUGGACUCCAGAAAGCAAUGCAGCUACACAAAAUUGCUCUGAGUUACAGUAGAGACUGUAUAGGAUUUGGCUCGGCUAGGUAGCGAUCUAUGAGGUGACAAGCAAAAAGGCACUGAUGUUGGUAUGAAAGCUGAAGGUUUGGAAUUCUAUCUGUCUGAGGCAAAGCCAACUCAGAAUUCCAUUGCAAGACAAAUCAUAGAUGUCACUGAAGAUUAAAUAUUAAUUUUAAAGAUUAGAUUGGAUAGGAUGUUUUCUUUAAAAUGGAGUGAUUGCGCUUUCUUUCACUCACCCAAACAGACAAACAGACAGAAAGGCAGACAGAGAGAGCGCUAUGUAAGAGGAACCACUAGUAACUGUUUGGAGUUUAAAAGAUUAUUGUGCACAGUCUUCCUAAUAAUUACACACUGAUGCAAAACUGCAGUGAUCUUCCGGCUGUUUAGAUGUAACCUUCACAAUGUAAUUAAUUUUGUACAUCUAAUACUGCCCUAAGGCACAGGAUCAGCAUCAUGGGUGUUCUGUUAUUGUAAUGAAAAUGAAAAUAAGUAG